rnacentral:rRNA from 1 species
GGGUAGCUAAUGCCGCAUAUGAUCUUCGGAUUAAAGGAUUUAUCCGCUUUGGGAGCGGCCCGCGUACGAUUAGAUAGUUGGUGAGGUAAUGGCUCACCAAGUCGACGAUCGUUAACUGGUUUGAGAGGAUGAUCAGUCAGACUGGAACUGAGACACGGUCCAGACUCCUACGGGAGGCAGCAGUGAGGAAUCUUCCACAAUGGGCGAAAGCCUGAUGGAGCAACGCCGCGUGCAGGAUGAAGGCCUUCGGGUUGUAAACUGCUUUUAUAAGUGAAGAAUAUGACGGUAACUUAUGAAUAAGCACCGGCUAACUACGUG